GCAAGCUACUCUUCUUCAAUGUGAUAUGAUGUAGCCAAUUUUGCUCCUCAGAUCCGUCUCCUCUCCUCUCUCUUUCGACCUCUCUCUUUGUUAUCUUCACCUUUGCUUUGUCCAUCUCUAUCUCCACCCGGUCAUCCAUGCGUCACUCUAUCUCUCGCGCAGAUCCCUCCAUCUCUAUCUCCACAGAUCCUCCCUGCCUCUCUCUUCCCUCUGUUUUGUCUCUCUCUAAACCCUAAACCCUUUGGAUCUCUCUAUAUUCGAUCCAUCUGACAAACCCAAAACCAUUGAAAUCGACUCCUUCAAAUCGUCGAAGUAAAAACAAACCCUAAGACAAAGCAAGCAGAUGAAGAAGAUGAACAAGACAAAAGCUUGAGAUUGCUGAAAUCGUCUGAAAUCCAUCACGCGGCUUCAAAUCGAGAUCUCAUUCCGAAAUACUCCAAGGCUGAAGAACUUCGAAGGUGCUAGGGUUCCAUGUCUAUUCGAUCAUCUCCUUCCAGAAAUACUCCCAAGAGAGUUUGAAGAACACUGCGAAGGUGCGAUUGAAAGGUUUAAUCGAAGGUGCUGCUGAUUGAUUCUCUCAUUCGAAGGUGCGAUUGAAGAGGACCAAGUGCUUUGGAAUCACUAUAAUACUAGAUCUAAUAUAAAACCUAUGAAGCACGGGUACUCCAAAAAUGUUGCCGUACAAGUACCGGAUACUUCUCGGGUGUGGGUACGCGUACCGGUAAGGCUGCACGCGUACUGGGUACGCCAAAACGGCUCCUUCCAGAUCUCAUUUCGAAAUACUCCAAGGCUGAAGAACUUCGAAGGUGCUAGGGUUCCAUGUCUAUUCAAUCAUCUCCUUCCAGAAAUACUCCCAAGAGAGUCUGAAGAACACUUCGAAGGUGCGAUUGAAAGGUUUAAUCGAAGGUGCUGCUGAUUGAUUCUCUCAUUCGAAGGUGCGACUGAAGAGCUCCUUCCAGAUCUCAUUUCGAAAUACUCCAAGGCUGAAGAACUUCGAAGGUGCUAGGGUUCCAUGUCUAUUCAAUCAUCUCCUUCCAGAAAUACUCCCAAGAGAGUCUGAAGAACACUUCGAAGGUGCGAUUGAAAGGUUUAAUUGAAGGUGCUGCUGAUUGAUCUCUCAUUCGAAGGUGCGAUUGAAGAGUUACGCUAUGGUGGUCAUCUAGAAAGAAUACAAGAACAUUUAAAUGUGGGAUUUACAUGUUUGGGAGGGAAGCCAAGGGAGGGUACAAGAGGCUUACAUGAAUUCCUCAAAGUGGUAGAAAUUGUUGUGACACUGAGCUUGCUGUGUACUUGCUUGAGAAUGCUGUGUUGCUCGACAAGAUAACUGUCGUUUCUAGACAUCCAUAUUACAUGUGAAGGUGGGAUUUAAAUGACCCAAUAGGCGAGGGAAAUGAUGCUGCUAGAGAACGUGCCAAGCAGCUGAAAACAAAACUACCCCUAGGCACUGAAUUAGUGAACUUUGAUUGCAAAAUUGUCAAUUAACUAUAAAUUGUUGGCUGUGGUGGCAUUGAUCUAUAUAUUGUGAGAAUAGUUGUGUUGUGUUAAAGGUAUAGUAUUAUCCAAUAGAGUUUUAUAAAGUUACGUAUUAUGAUUUUGUUAAAGAGGGGGCUAUGAUGAUGUCUUCUUUUAUUUGCUACCAGAUAGUGAUGAUAUUGUUUGCAUAAUUUUUACUUGAUUA